GACGAACGCUGGCGGCGUGCUUAACACAUGCAAGUCGAGCGGUAAGGCUCCUUCGGGAGUACACGAGCGGCGAACGGGUGAGUAACACGUGAGUAAUCUGCCCUUCACUUCGGGAUAACCACCGGAAACGGUGGCUAAUACCAAAUACGACCAGUCUUCGCAUGAGGUGCUGGUGGAAAGUCUUUUCGGUGAAGGAUGUGCUCGCGGCCUAUCAGCUUGUUGGUGGGGUAAUGGCCUACCAAGGCUUCGACGGGUAGCCGGCCUGAGAGGGUGACCGGCCACACUGGGACUGAGACACGGCCCAGACUCCUACGGGAGGCAGCAGUGGGGAAUAUUGGGCAAUGGGCGAAAGCCUGAUCCAGCAACGCCGCGUGAGGGAUGACGGCCUUCGGGUUGUAAACCUCUUUCAGUACCGACGAAGCGCCCUGUCGGGUGGUGACGGUAGGUACAGAAGAAGGACCGGCCAACUACGUG
rnacentral:rRNA from 1 species